rnacentral:tRNA from 1 species
AGGCGCGUAGCUCAGUGGUCAGAGUCCCCGCGCUGAUAACGAGAUUGUCAGCGGUUCGGGAAUCGCUGAGCGAUUUCCGAGCCCUGCCAGACGCGCACAGCAAAGCGAGCACGUCUGGCUCUGGUUCAACUCCGCUCGCGCCUA